rnacentral:rRNA from 1 species
UACGUAGGUGGCAAGCGUUGUCCGGAUUUAUUGGGUUUACAGGGUGCGUAGGCGGUCCUGUAAGUCAGUGCUGAAAUAUCCCAGCUUAACUGGGAGGGUGGCAUUGAUACUGCGGGGCUAGAGUACAGAUGAGGUAGGCGGAAUUGACGGUGUAGCGGUGAAAUGCUUAGAUAUCGUCAAGAACACCGAUAGCGAAGGCAGCUUACUAGGCUGUAACUGACGCUGAGGCACGAAAGUGUGGGGAUCAAACAGG